CGGGAUGUAGCUCAGCUUGGUAGAGCACUUGAUUUGGGAUCAAGGGGUCACAGGUUCGAAUCCUGCCAUCCCGACCA
rnacentral:tRNA from 1 species